GCAGUCUCAUUUCCACAAGCGCUUGCACUCUCGUGGCGUCUGUCGUUGCCAUGCAACCAACUGCGCUCUCCAUGAUGACAAGAAGGAUCAGCAAAAUAUUAAUUGAUUUCUAGCCCUUGCGUUAACUUUAUUACUAGAUAUAUUUAUGGAGAUGAAAAAUAAUAAAGGCGCCCUGUACAGCUAUGAUCAGCUGUUCGGCCGAGCAUUCAAUGUUGUGACGCUGUAAGCUGAUCAGUUGGUUCGUUGCUGCCGCGCUCUAUCACUCGCACACCAUAAAGAGCAAAAUGUUUUUUAAUGUUUCAGUUUCGUUAUUACAACGACAAUUUGGAAGCGGAUAAUUUCUUCACAAACAGCUCAUUUUGACUCAAAAUGUUAGAAUGCUGCACCUACACUUGAUAGUGUGAAUAAGAUCAGCGCAACGCAGACCGCUGCAUUGACAGCGUGAAACAUGAUCUGUCUACAGCAGCCAGGGCUCCGCCGUUUACUGUCUAUGAGCUCAGCGCUGAGACAGAAAAUGCCGGUCCAGCGCUGAUUGAGGAAUUAAAUUCGAAAAUAAAAGACAAUUUGACUAGACAAUUUGACAUAUUUUUUCUCGCAUCUGUGAAUUUAUUUUUUAAUCAAUUGCUCUGAGAUGAAGCAAAUAUAUUUGUGCGGGAAUUUCUCGCACUAUAAAAGCUAACCUUGCGGGAAUGGUUUAAAUUAUGCGCAAUCCCCGCAUUCCCGCACCGAAAUUCAA